rnacentral:rRNA from 1 species
CAGUAGCCGCGGUAAUACGAAGGGUGCAAGCGUUAAUCGGAAUUACUGGGCGUAAAGCGUGCGUAGGCGGUGAGUUAAGUCUGCUGUGAAAUCCCCGGGCUCAACCUGGGAAUGGCAGUGGAUACUGGCUCGCUAGAGUGUGUCGGAGGAUGGUGGAAUUCCCGGUGUAGCGGUGAAAUGCGUAGAGAUCGGGAGGAACAUCAGUGGCGAAGGCGGCCAUCUGGGACAACACUGACGCUGAGGCACGAAAGCGUGGGGAGCAAACAGGAUUAGAUACCCCAGUAGUCCCUGUCUCUUAUAC